rnacentral:rRNA from 1 species
GGUUAAGCGACUAAGCGUACACGGUGGAUGCCCUGGCAGUCAGAGGCGAUGAAGGGCGUGCUAAUCUGCGAUAAGCGCCGGUAAGGUGAUAUGAACCGUUAUAACCGGCGAUACCCGAAUGGGGAAACCCAGUGUGACUCGUCACACUAUCAUUAACUGAAUCCAUAGGUUAAUGAGGCGAACCGGGGGAACUGAAACAUCUAAGUACCCCGAGGAAAAGAAAUCAACCGAGAUUCCCCCAGUAGCGGCGACGCGAACGGGGAGGAGCCCAG